UUACCUAGGGAGUAGAGUACGGAGUAUUAACCUGGUAAGGUUGCAUGGGAGUUUUACUAGUUUACUGUCUUCUGCUAACACGGGUGUUGCCUCCGUUUC